rnacentral:rRNA from 1 species
GACGUAGGGUGCAAGCGUUGUCCGGAAUUAUUGGGCGUAAAGAGCUCGUAGGCGGUUUGUUGCGUCGGCUGUGAAAUCCCGAGGCUCAACCUCGGGUCUGCAGUCGAUACGAGCAAACUAGAGUGUUGCAGGGGAGACUGGAAUUCCUGGUGUAGCGGUGAAAUGCGCAGAUAUCAGGAGGAACACCGGUGGCGAAGGCGGGUCUCUGGGCAACAACUGACGCUGAGGAGCGAAAGCGUGGGGAGCGAACAGG